GACAGAGGGUGCAAACGUUGCUCGGAAUUACUGGGCGUAAAGCGCGUGUAGGUGGAUUGGUGUGUCAGAUGUGAAAUCCCUGGGCUCAACCCAGGAACUGCACCUGAAACUACCAGUCUUGAGUGGUGGAGAGGGAAGUGGAAUUCCUGGUGUAGAGGUGAAAUUCGUAGAUAUCAGGAGGAACACCAGUGGCGAAGGCGGCUUCCUGGACACCAACUGACGCUGAGGAGCGAAAGCGUGGGGAGCGAACAGG
rnacentral:rRNA from 1 species